ACCCACCACCUUGACGCCCGCCGCCACCACAGCUACCAUGCCAAACUAUGCCACUGGCGCCGCCGCGCCCGCCUCCAUCUCUAGCGCCAGACAGCUGGUGUCACGCUGGCUCCUGUAGUUUUGCUUCCACCGGCAGCGCCUGCAUGCACGCGUGCACACACAUAGACACACCCAGUUAAUCGUCUGCCACAAGACGGGUAGGUGCCAAUGCAUGUCAAGGCCAGCCAUGGACAGAGUGCUUGGCAGUGCACGGGGCCUACUACACAAGGCGUGUCUGUGUGCACAUGUGCAUGUGUGUGCGUCCACACGUGUCACGGACACAUGUGUGUGCGUCCACACGUGUCACGGACACUCACCGUUGAUGAGCACAAUGCUGGAGGUGUAGGGGCAGUCCAGCCAACCGUACGGUCCAUAGGGUACAACAGGGGUUGGGCAGCAAGCUGUCGCGGGGCAGGGUGUGUGCGUGCGGAGGGGGGCGGGGUGGUAUGUGAGACACUAGGCGUACCGUGGCAAGGGAGCCAUAAAAACACCUUACAGCGAGCGCUGGUAAGGGAGGCAGCAGACAGUCACUAGUUGUAGGCGGGGGCUCCACCAGACAACCCAACACAGCGCGAGAAGAUGAACCAUGCACUGGCUUGCGAGGUACCACUAGGUUCAACGCAUCCCAUCGUCAUUCAACCUGCGGACUAACCUGCGGACUAACCUGCGGACUAUGGCGUGCGGGGCGAGGGUGAUGUUGACAGAACGCGAUGUUGAAUGGCGUUGUUGACGCCGGCCACCGAGACUUCUCGGUCGGACAUUUGAAGCGCAGCUGAUAGAUUAUGAGGCAUAGUCGUUUCUCUCACGUAAUAGCUGGCUGCAGCUGACGUGUGAGCAGCGUUGCCAAGCCGGUCAACGAGCAGUCAGCAGCGUGAGGACUCACGUCCCAAGCCAGCCAAGCAGCGUCUGCCGCCAGCUCUUGUUCUAAUGACAUUUGAGCUAGCAUAAAUUUGUGUUACAAAGAGAAGUAGCAAGCGCGAGAGAGCAAAGUGGGGGAGAGGAACAGAAGUGCAGCGGCACCGGCAUGAAGUGCAGUGUAUCAGUAUAUGUAUGGUACUAUAUCAGUGUAUGUGUAGUAGUAUCAGGGGCCGCUCUAUGCUGCUUGUUAAGUCAGGCCCGCGAGAACCCCAUGCAGGAACCCUGGUUACCCCUCGCGAAGGCCCCCGUUACCCCUGGCUUAGGGUCGUUACCACGCCCAAGGGUCCCUGUCACAAUGUCACACAGUCGGCCUACAGCCCCCAGACUUCCUCGUUCGCG
rnacentral:lncRNA from 1 species